GGAAUAUUGCACAAUGGGCGCAAGCCUGAUGCAGCCAUGCCGCGUGUAUGAAGAAGGCCUUCGGGUUGUAAAGUACUUUCAGCGGGGAGGAAGGGAGCGCGGUUAAUAACCGCGUUCAUUGACGUUACCCGCAGAAGAAGCACCGGCUAACUCCGUGCCAGCAGCCGCGGUAAUACGGAGGGUGCAAGCGUUAAUCGGAAUUACUGGGCGUAAAGCGCACGCAGGCGGUCUGUUAAGUCAGAUGUGAAAUCCCCGGGCUUAACCUGGGAACUGCAUUUGAAACUGGCAGGCUUGAGUCUUGUAGAGGGGGGUAGAAUUCCAGGUGUAGCGGUGAAAUGCGUAGAGAUCUGGAGGAAUACCGGUGGCGAAGGCGGCCCCCUGGACAAAGACUGACGCUCAGGUGCGAAAGCGUGGGGAGCAAACAGGAUUAGAUACCCUUG
rnacentral:rRNA from 1 species